UAUGGCCAUACCAUCCUGAACAUGCCAGGUCUCGUUUGAUCUCAGAACGAAGAAGAGCUGGGCCUGUUUAAUACUUGGAUGGAGAUAUAGAAC
rnacentral:rRNA from 1 species